AUACGUAGGGGGCGAGCGUUGUCCGGAUUUAUUGGGCGUAAAGGGUGCGUAGGCGGCCUUGUAAGUCAGAUGUGAAAGAUCAUGGCUUAACUGUGGUAAGCAUUUGAAACUGCAGGGCUUGAGUACAGGAGAGGAGAGUGGAAUUCCUAGUGUAGCGGUGAAAUGCGUAGAUAUUAGGAGGAAUACCAGUGGCGAAGGCGACUCUCUGGACUGAUACUGACGCUGAGGCACGAAAGCGUGGGGAGCAAACAGGAUUAGAUUCCCUGGUAGUCCACGCUAUAAACGAUGGGUGCUAGGUGUCGGGGGUCAAACCUCGGUGCCGCAGUGAACACAUUAAGCACUCCGCCUGGGGAGUACGGCCGCAAGGCUGAAACUCAAAUGAAUUGACGGGG
rnacentral:rRNA from 1 species